rnacentral:rRNA from 3 species
GGAUCCCAUCAGAACUCCGAAGUUAAGCGUGCUUGGGCGAGAGUAGUACUAGGAUGGGUGACCUCCUGGGAAGUCCUCGUGUUGCAUUCCCC